ACAGCAGGAAGCACAGGGAUCUUAAAACAUAAACUCACAGUGCUCCCCACAUUGAUCUCCCACACAAACCCAUCUCUCCUGUCAGGGACUGUGGGCUUCGUGACUUUCUCCAUGUGCUGGACUGUCGCAUGGUCACUGUUGCCAGGGACUCUUUGAACUAAUCCCAAGCCUAUGUCAGAAAAGCCUGUGAUCGAUUCCCAGUGCCAUCCUGAACCACAAGAUUGGAAUAUCGCACCUUUCAACUGCCUGGGCUGAUAAACAAUACAGCAUGUACUCAGCUUCAUAAACACUCUGCCUUGUUACAAAGGGCAUUGCAAACUCGCCGUGAUAGGACUUGACCUUAAAAGCUAUAGACAAUCUAGCGGAGCACAGACGGUUUCAUAAAGUACAAUCACUUCCUGGAAUUCUUGGGCCAGUGCAGUCGGAGCCGUGCAAAUCCUGUUUUCCUUGCAUUGUUUCCUGCAUGUGAAUAUCAUCAGUCUAGCAGUCUCUCUCUGUCACCAGGCUGGAGUACAGUGGGGCAAUCUCGGCUCACUGCAACCUCUGCCUCCCGGGUUCAAGCGAUUCUCCUGCCUCAGCCUCCCGAGUAGCUGGGACUGUAGGUGCACGCCACCAUGAGCAGUUAUUUUUUGUCUUUUUAGUAGAGACGAGGUUUCACUAUGUUGGCCAGGCUGGUCUUGAUCUCUUGACCUCGUGAUCUGCUGGCCUCAGCCUUCCAAAGUGCUGGGACUAUAGCCGUGAGCCACCAUGCCAGGCCCAUCUAACUUUUAAUAUAGAUUGUAUGAUGUUUUCAUAAAACAAGCAGGGCUCAGAAAGGCCGUAUAAAGCCACAGAGCCAGCAAGCAGCAGAGUCUGCAUUUUAAUCCAUAUGUUCAUGGCUUCAAAGCAAUGUUAUUUAACUCUAACAAUGCAAUUGAACUAACAACUGACAUCAGACACAAAUAUUCUGAAGAACCUGGAGAAAUAGAAAAGAAUUGGAUAGAACUGAUGGCUCAUGGGCAGAAGCUGUGCAUCAGGAAGAGGAAAUAAAUGGCAUUGUUCAGCCAUGAAGCCAUAUAAUUUCAACCUGACUUUCCUUCUCUAUUGUCCUGUCUCAUUGUCUAGCUUGAAAUGUGGCCGCAGUCAUGUCAAGUGGCUAACUUCCUGCAUAUUUGGUUUCCUCAUGGGAGCUUAGUAAUUCCUGAUUGAUUUAGAGCAAGAAAGUAAAAUAAAUUCUAGUUUUUCCAA
rnacentral:lncRNA from 1 species